GACUUGGGCUCUCCAACCUCAAUAACUAACUUUUGGAGUGUGGUUCUCCUAAGUUCAUAUGUAGUGCUGGAAGUGAAGAUAUUUUGAAAUUAAUUGUUUCAAGUCACGACUGAUUUUCUGAAGCAUUAAUUGCUCAAAUCAUAUAAAUAGGGUAAAGUGCAGAGAUGAAUGUGCUGAUUAUAUCUCCUACCAAAGAGCAGUAUUUUAUCCACUUCCAAUUUGGUUAUCUACAUAUUGAAUACUGAAAAUGCAAGUAACUCAACAUUUCUUUUAAAUAACAAGCAGAAACAAGUUCCAUUGGGCAACAUGAAUUUCUGCCUUAAGCUGAAGAAUGAAUGCUUUUGUAAUCUACUGACAAUGUCCACUAAAUCAUAAAAAUGCAAUUUUAGCUACCUUGCUGCACUGGUGAGAUAUAGGCAGGUC
rnacentral:misc_RNA from 1 species